GCCAGUGUUGCAUAGUGGUUUAAGUGCUGGACUGCAACUCUGGGGACCUGGGUUCAAAUCCCUGCUCAGCCA